GCGGUGGUAGCCUAGUGGUUAAGGACCUGGGCUAGCAAGCCAGAAAAGUUGUGGGUUCAAUUCCCAGCUUCCUUG
rnacentral:tRNA from 1 species